GAAAUAUAUUUUUCACUAGUGAAAAUAAGGAAUAUGAAAUUCCUUAGGGUAGCAGCAGCAUGCUGAAUGACGUCAUUUGCCGAGGCUUUGUAAAGAACGAUAACUGUCUUGAUAUUUGAUACCGAAAAUUUCCAUUUUUAUCGUCGUGGAGCAAAAAGUAACCUAUCAGCGAAAAUAACCCAUCAGUACGAAUCAAAGCCUACGAAUCAAAAUCUGCAAGAGUAAACUGUCGCUUAAUCAAUCCUGUGAAGUCACUUGUUACGUCUCCGAGUCGGUUAUCAGAUUUAAACAAUUUGCCCCCGAAAACCACGUGCACAAAAAUAGUCUCAUCCCAAACUCUACCGGCAAGCUGUGGUGCUGAAUUUUUGAAUAAACAUUUGUUGAGUGUAAAUUAUGGGAAUAAGGUACCAAAAAUUUCAACAUUUGCAAAUUUGUAUUUCUAAAACGUGUGAAUGUGAAUGUGUUUCUAUUUCCCAAGAUGCGUCGGAUUCCCUUCAGAUAUCAUGAACACCACAACAAUGUUUUGCAUCAUUCGCUUUCUGCCACUGUAUUGACUGUGCUUACUUUUCAAAUGAUCGACUGUCAAUGGCCACCCUCACUUCCGGCUUCUUUCAAAAAGCUCCGCGAUAGCCAAUUCUUCGUAGACAACACGAAUCUCAUCCAAGACGCCUUGAAUGGUCCUGACCACUCGCUGAUUCGAGCGCGGCGCGGGUUCGGGAAAACAACGUUCCUAGACAUGGUGCGACGCUUCGUCGAAGUGGACGUCUUCCCCAACGGCACGGUCAACCCCGAAAAACGCACCCACAAAAACUACAAUUCCUUUGCCAAAAUCGUCCCCAGCUCGGGUCGAUUCCUCGCUGUUUUCCAGAACAAGUCUUACUUCGAAACCCACUUCGGCGCGAACCCCGUUAUCUUCCUGGAUCUGGAUCUAAAGGGCGCCAAAACGCGCGAUGCUACAGAUCUCGCACGACAUUUACUAAACGGAACCGUUAAAGCCGCUUUCACACACCACGCGUAUCUCAUUAACUCAUCGUUCAUACACUUCGAAGAUAAAAAUCUAAUGCGUAGAUUCCUCGUUCCCUCCGAUGAUGAGAAUGUAGAAAAAUACUCGCCGCGUUUUGCCAUCACGUUUUUGAAAAAACUUUUAAGACAACACUUCCAAAAAGACGUGAUUCUACUGAUUGACAACGUAGAUGGCCCGUUGAGGGAGGUACUUUUCGACCCCGGACAAGACACCAACGCAACAUUUUCGAAACUCGACGUUUUUCGAAGCAUAAUUGAAGAAAUGCCUGAUGAUAAGCCACCUCGUUUGACUCUCAUGUCUUGUGUCAUCGUCCCAUAUUACAGAUGGCCUCAAUACGUUACCAACUCUAGCAUCCAUCUCGAUGGUUUUUCUAACGUCGAGAUGACGUCAUUAGCGAAAUUCGCGGAUGUGGACCACAAAUUGGACCAGAUUUCGACUUGGUACGGUGGUUUUAGCAUAUACAAUCCGGAAUCAGUUGUCAGUUUCUUAAGUGAUUCAAUGAAAGAGUUUAAAUCCUACUGGUCGGAGCUAGGAUCACUUGACACUUUCAAGGUGGCGUUUGCGCCGCAGUGCUUCGGACGACAAAUUUUAGAAUGUUACCAGGAGUGUAAGUUGUGGAUGUUAGGGGGCGCGGACAUCAGUGGUAUGUCGACAAAUAUCGCGCGCGACCUCAAAAUUUUGCACAGACUCAACUUUCCAGUGCAGGCGGCCGAAUGCCCUCUGGAUACUUUUCCCCAUUUCAUUGGCCUGUUAGAAAACCUUGGAUAUCUAACGUUUACACGACGUAUCAGUCGAUCUUUAACGAGUCCUUUGACGUUCAGCGCGUUCAAGGUCCCAAACCAAGAGGUGAAAGAAUAUCUCUCCAGAUUGCUGUAUGAGGCCAUCACAGGUCAAAUUCCGUUGAACGGGGAUGUUGAUUUCAGACAAGAAUUAUUCGAGGCCAUUGCAGGGGUUGACGGAUCUGAACAACGAAUGCGUAGAUUGACCAGCGCGCUGGUGACUUUACUCUUGGCUUCGGAGCGCCGGAACCAAACUGCCGAUACGACGCUAGCGCAUUCUAUCAGGGUGCAUUUGCUUCAUCCUCCACCCGAGUUCAAUGUUCCUUAUGUAAAGACAAGCCGCAGUGUGGGAAACUCGACAAAUCAGUCAGAUUUUGACUUGGUUUUCGUUUUGAAAUAUAGGACCGCAACGUUAGGGUAUGUCUUAAAGAUUGAGUCGGAAGUAAAACCGACAGUUAAUCGGACUUUGAACAACGCAUAUCUCGAUGUUUUCUCGUCGAAAGAGUUUGAUAAUGUUUUCAAUGCAACUGUGAUAAAAGUAGCUGCGAAUUUUCGUUGUGGUAUUUGUGAUGUGAGUGGUGAACAUAUUUGUAGGUUAAGUUACCUGUUUAAUGACACGCAUCUGGAGCGGGAAAAGCAAGUUGAUGUGAAGAAACAGCAAGUAACGGAGGAAGCAAGAACGAGAUGGCAGAAGUUUUGA
rnacentral:lncRNA from 1 species